UACGAAGGGGGCUAGCGUUGUUCGGAAUUACUGGGCGUAAAGCGCACGUAGGCGGAUAUUUAAGUCAGGGGUGAAAUCCCAGAGCUCAACUCUGGAACUGCCUUUGAUACUGGCAAGCUCGAGUCCGGAAGAGGUAAGUGGAACUCCUAGUGUAGAGGUGGAAUUCGUAGAUAUUAGGAAGAACACCAGUGGCGAAGGCGGCUUACUGGUCCGGAACUGACGCUGAGGUGCGAAAGCGUGGGGAGCAAACAGG
rnacentral:rRNA from 1 species